AUCAGUAGUGGUUUACUUUACAUAAAUCACUUUUGUUUCUUAGAAUCUAUUUUGCAUUUAAAUUUCGCGGGUAAGACGAACGUGUGAAGAUAGUUGCCCUUGUGUUUGAAACACUGUUGCCAUUUUAUCCCGUUGCCUAUUUCAGGGUUCGAACGUACCUAGAUGGCUCUUUAAUUUACGACCCAGUAAGAGAACAUACUCGUUUCGCGUAACGCGGCUAACUUUAGUAGGCUCGUUUUCAUCUAGAUUUGUUUCACUGUGAUGCACUUUUGACUCGGACAGUCAUAUACUUGGUGAACAAAAAUUUGUGAAUAGUAAAGCUAAUGGCAUUCUGAUCGACCGCUUGGAUAGAUAUAAUACAUUUGUGGGAAUUAAUAAUUAGAAAAUAAAAGAUCACUAUAUAUAUGCUUCGUAUCAUGAAUAUUGCAAAUGCGCAUGCGGGUUGUUCUUGGUGAUAAGUAUAUUCGACCAAUCAGAGUCGAUAUAUGGAGAACGAACGAAAAUUGGUGGAUUGACGAGUACGUUCUCUCAAUGAACGUCAUUAUAGUAAUUUUAAUUAUUUUAGAUGGCGCUAGGAACCAAAAAUUAUUUUUUGUAGUAAUGCACUAACUCUAUUUUACUUGCAUGUAUAUACAUACAUUAUAUGUAUAUGCUACUUGUGUUUUGCUAGAUGUGGAUUUUGUUUAUACAGUUUAACCGUUUAUGUUUAGACAUUUUAAUUUCUUUAUAUCUUACUGCAAAGUGAUCUAAGAAAGUUAUACGAUGUAUUGCGUACAUAACCAUAUACCGAUAAUAAGGAGAAGAUUAAAAAAUUAACAAAUUUCAAUUUGUC